rnacentral:tRNA from 1 species
GGUUUGUGGCUCAGUGGUUGAGAGCUUGCUUUGCAUGAGUGAGGCACUGGGUUCGAUCCUCAGCACCA